rnacentral:lncRNA from 1 species
CCAGUAAAAUGCCCAUACGAAGUCAAUUUAUUCGAUUAGAGAUAUAGAACCCUAAAAGGGGUAUGGAAGAUAAAAAAAAAUGCCCGGUUUUUCUUUCUGGAAAGACAAUAUUUCUUUCAUCCUUUUGCAUUGAAAUAACAAAUUGAAAUCAAAAUAAAAAAUAAUAUGAUUCAACCUCAGACCCUUUUAAAUGUAGCAGAUAAUAGUGGAGCUCGAAAAUUGAUGUGUAUUCGAGUCAUAGGAGCUNNNNNNNNNNAAAGGGCUCGAAUAGAAAAAUAGAAUCAGACUCAAGUUCCGAAGUAAUUACACAUAAUAGAAAAAUGGACUCAGGUUCAAGUUCCGAAGUAAUUACACAUAUAGAAAUCCAAAAAGAAAUCGAUACGAUCCACGUCAUAAUCCAUAUUGGAUUCCCAAAUUUAUUAAAGAAAAAAGGAGCAAUCGAAGAAUUAGAGAAAGAUCUACAAAAGGAAAUUAACUCUGUAAACCAGAGAUUUAAUAUUUCUAUCGAAAAAGUGAAAGAACCUUAUAGACAGCCUAACAUUCUUGCAGAAUAUAUAGCUUUCCAAUUAAAAAAUAGAGUUUCAUUCCGAAAGGCAAUGAAAAAAGCCAUUGAAUUAACUAAAAAAGCAGAUAUAAGGGGAGUAAAAGUAAAAAUUGCGGGUCGUCUCGGAGGAAAAGAAAUUGCACGCGCCGAAUCUAUUAAAAAGGGUAGACUUCCCCUCCAAACAAUUCACGCUAAAAUUGAUUAUUGCUGCUAUCCAAUUCGGACUAUCUAUGGAGUAUUAGGUGUAAAAAUUUGGAUAUUCGUAGACGAAGAAUAAGUAAUCUUGUCUUUGGAUUCUGUCCAUUGAUAGAAUAAAAAAUGACAAGAGACUUUUUUCCUGAAAUCCCUGCAAAAGAAGAAAUUAUACCUCUUUCUAUAAGAUUUAAUGAAAAUUGAUAAAUCAUUUAAUAUAAUUGCUAUGCUUAGUGUGUGACUCGUUAUUUUUUUCUUUUUUUUAAGAAAAAAACUUAGUAAUUAUAGAAAAUUAACUAAUAACCAACCUAUUGCUUCGUAUUGUCGAGAUCCUAACUAAGAAACAGUCACUAUAUGAAUAAAUACCUCUAUCAUAAAUGAGUAGAUGUGUCAUAUAGUUGUAGCAACUGCAAUUUUUUCUCUAAAAAAGAAAAGGGAUUCUAGGUUGUGAAGCAAAACUAAAGGGAUGUGGAUAAAGGGAGGGAUGAUAGAAAGAAGGAAGAUGAAAUAAAUAAGAUAUAGGAUUCCACUAUGUAUGGUCUAUGAAUUACAUCAUAAAAGGCAAUGUGAUAAAGCAUCAAUAUAAUAAAAAUAAUAGAGAAUUAAAAAUUGUAACUUGAAACAAGAACUACAAAUUUAAAGCAAUAAUAAAGAGCCGCCCGGGUUAAUAAAACUGAGAAAAUUAACUCGGAAAGAAAUUUUUUGGAAGCUCCGUUGCGGGAUUCAGACCUAACCAUUCAAGGAGAAGCAGUGGGAACGACAGAACCUAUGAUUCCAUAGGAUUUUAUUGAAAAGAAUCCUAACACUUCAUUGGGUGGGAUGGCGGAACAAACCAAAAAAAUUGUCUUAUUUGGUAAGUUUAUAAAUUAACAAAUAAGACAGGAAAGAGUAAAUAUUCGCCCGCGAAAUUCUUAUUGAAUUAGAAUACUUUACCGCGAUUCAAUAAGAGUCAAAAUAAGGAUUUUUUUAAGAAGGAUUACAUUAUCUAUAAAUAUAGAAUUUAGAUAAAUAUACACACACAUCUGGAUAUAUUCUAGAUCUUCUUUUUUAACUAUAUAUUAUAUUUUUCUGUUUUAACAAAUUCAAUAUAAAAAAAACCGAACUUUUUCUAUUAUCUAUUAAUGUGUAUCUAUCCGUACCGUAAUAUUUUGGAAUAUUAUGAAUUAGAUAAAUUUACAUGCUUUCUCAUUCCAUUCGCGAGGAGCUGGAUGAGAAGAAACUCUCAUGUCCAGUUUUGCAGUAGAGAUGGAACUAAGAAAGAGAACCAUCGACUAUAACCCCAAAAGAACCAGAUUUCGCAAACAACAUAGAGGAAGAAUGAAAGGAAAAUCCUGCCGAGGCAAUCGUAUUUGUUUUGGUAGAUAUGCUCUUCAAGCACUUGAACCCGCUUGGAUCACGGCGAGACAGAUAGAAGCAGGACGAAGAGCAAUAACACGAUAUGCACGUCGUGGUGGAAAAAUAUGGGUACGUAUAUUUCCCGACAAACCGGUUACACUAAGACCCACGGAAACACGUAUGGGCUCGGGAAAGGGGUCCCCCGAAUAUUGGGUAUCCGUUGUUAAACCUGGUCGUAUACUUUAUGAAAUGGGGGGAGUAUCUGAAACUGUAGCUAGAGCAGCUAUCUCCAUAGCUGCCAGUAAAAUGCCCAUACGAAGUCAAUUUAUUCGAUUAGAGAUAUAGAACCCUAAAAGGGGUAUGGAAGAUAAAAAAAAAUGCCCGGUUUUUCUUUCUGGAAAGACAAUAUUUCUUUCAUCCUUUUGCAUUGAAAUAACAAAUUGAAAUCAAAAUAAAAAAUAAUAUGAUUCAACCUCAGACCCUUUUAAAUGUAGCAGAUAAUAGUGGAGCUCGAAAAUUGAUGUGUAUUCGAGUCAUAGGAGCUACUGGUAAUCAGCGAUAUGCUCGUAUUGG